rnacentral:rRNA from 1 species
GAUGAACGCUGGCGGCGUGCCUAAUACAUGCAAGUCGAGCGAACGGACGAGAAGCUUGCUUCUCUGACGUUAGCGGCGGACGGGUGAGUAACACGUGGAUAACCUACCUAUAAGACUGGGAUAACUUCGGGAAACCGGAUCUAAUACCGGAUAAUAUUUUGAACCGCAUGGUUCAAAAGUGAAAGACGGUCUUGCUGUCACUUAUAGAUGGAUCCGCGCUGCAUUAGCUAGUUGGUAGGGUAACGGCUUACCAAGGCUACGAUGCAUAGCCGACCUGAGAGGGGGAUCGGCCACACUGGAACUGAGACACGGUCCAGACUCCUACGGGAGGCAGCAGUAGGGAAUCUUCCGCAAUGGGCGAAAGCCUGACGGAGCAACGCCGCGUGAGUGAUGAAGGUCUUCGGAUCGUAAAACUCUGUUAUUAGGGAAGAACAUAUGUGUACGUAACUGUGCACAUCUUGACGGUACCUAAUCAGAAAGCCACGGCUAACUACGUG